rnacentral:misc_RNA from 1 species
GAAAUGCGAUAAGUAAUGUGAAUUGCAGAAUUCCGUGAAUCAUCGAAUCUUUGAACGCACAUUGCGCCCCCUGGCAUUCCGGGGGGCAUGCCUGUCCGAGCGUCAUUUCUGCCCUCAAGCACGGCUUGUGUGUUGGGUGUGGUCCCCCCGGGGACCUGCCCGAAAGGCAGCGGCGACGUCCGUCUGGUCCUCGAGCGUAUGGGGCUCUGUCACUCGCUCGGGAUGGACCUGCGGGGGUUGGUCACCACCAUAUUUCACCACGGUUGACCUCGGAUCAGGUAGGAGUUACCCGCUGAACUUAAGC